GCAAACUUGGUCAUUUAGAGGAAGUAAAAGUCGUAACAAGGUUUCCGUAGGUGAACCUGCGGAAGGAUCAUUAUUGAAUAUAGCUUGCCUUGAUGGGUUGUAGCUGGCCUCUUGAGGCAUGUGCACACCUGUCUUGACUCUAUUCAUCCACCUGUGCACCAAUUGUAGUCUUUUCACUCUCUCUGGGUUAAGAAAUGCAGGCUUUGUUCAGUUGAGACACACUGGAUUUGAGAAGUGCUUCUUGGCUUUUCUCUUUCCCUAGCUUUGCAGCAUUAUUACCCACUUGAGAAAUGGGAGGACUAUGUCUUUUAUCAUAUACCCUAUUGUAUGUUGCCAGAAUGUAUUCAAUGGGCCUUAGUGCCUAUAAAAUCCUAUACAACUUUCAGCAACGGAUCUCUUGGCUCUCGCAUCGAUGAAGAACGCAGC
rnacentral:misc_RNA from 1 species